UGGGGAUUCAGAUUUAGGGGAUCCAGCAGGUUUGGGGGAUUCAGAAGUAGGGGAUCCAGUAGGUUUUGGGGAUUCAGAUUUAGGGGAUCCAGUAGGUUUUGGGGAUUCAGAUUUAGGGGAUCCAGAAGGUUUUGGUGAUUCAGAUUUGGGGGAUCCAGAAGGUUUUGGGGAUUCAGAUUUGGGGGAUCCAGCAGGUUUUGGGGAUUCAGAUUUGGGGGAUCCAGAAGGUUUUGGGGAUUCAGAUUUGGGGGAUCCAGCAGAUUUAGGGGAUCCAGCAGGUUUGGGGGAUUCAGAAGUAGGGGAUCCAGCAGGUUUUGGGGAUUCAGAUUUAGGGGAUCCAGCAAGUUUUGGGGAUUCAGAUUUUGGGGAUCCAGCAGGGUUUGGGGAUUCAGAUUUAGGGGAUCCAGCAGAUUUGGGGGAUUCAGAAGUAGGGGAUCCAGUAGGUUUUGGGGAUUCAGAUUUAGGGGUUCCAGCAGGUUUUGGGGAUUCAGAUUUAGGGGAUCCAGAAGGUUUUGGGGAUUCAGAUUUGGGGGAUCCAGAAGGUUUUGGGGAUUCAGAUUUGGGGGAUCCAGCAGAUUUAGGGGAUCCAGCAGGUUUGGGGGAUUCAGAAGUGGGGGAUCCAGCAGGCUUUGGGGAUUCAGAUUUAG